rnacentral:rRNA from 1 species
UACGGAGGGUGCAAGCGUUAUCCGGAUUCACUGGGUUUAAAGGGUGCGUAGGCGGGCAGGUAAGUCCGUGGUGAAAUCUCUGAGCUUAACUCAGAAACUGCCAUGGAUACUAUUUGUCUUGAAUAUUGUGGAGGUAAGCGGAAUAUGUCAUGUAGCGGUGAAAUGCUUAGAUAUGACAUAGAACACCAAUUGCGAAGGCAGCUUACUAAGGUUUUAAUGACGCUGAGGCACGAAAGCGUGGGGAUCAAACAGG